UGCGGCGGCCGGGUCGAUGACCCGCACCCCGGCGCUGGCGUCGCCGGCGACGACCCGGUGCCAACCGGCCUGCCGCGGCCA
rnacentral:tRNA from 1 species